UGAGGAAUAUUGGUCAAUGGGUGCAAGCCUGAACCAGCCAUCCCGCGUGAAGGACGACUGCCCUAUGGGUUGUAAACUUCUUUUGUAUAGGGAUAAACCUACCCUCGUGAGGGUAGCUGAAGGUACUAUACGAAUAAGCACCGGCUAACUCCGUGCCAGCAGCCGCGGUAAUACGGAGGGUGCAAGCGUUAUCCGGAUUUAUUGGGUUUAAAGGGUCCGUAGGCGGACUUAUAAGUCAGUGGUGAAAGCCUGUCGCUUAACGAUAGAACUGCCAUUAAUACUGUAAGUCUUGAGUAUAUUUGAGGUAGCUGGAAUAAGUAGUGGAGCGGUGAAAUGCAUAGAUAUUACUUAGAACACCAAUUGCGAAGGCAGGUUACCAAGAUAUAACUGACGCUGAGGGACGAAAGCGUGGGGAGCGAACA
rnacentral:rRNA from 1 species